UACGAAGGGGGCUAGCGUUGUUCGGAAUUACUGGGCGUAAAGCGCGCGCAGGCGGUCUUCCAAGUCAGUGGUGAAAGCCCGGAGCUCAACUCCGGAACUGCCAUUGAAACUGUAAGACUUGAGGACGAGAGAGGUGAGUGGAAUUCCCAGUGUAGAGGUGAAAUUCGUAGAUAUUGGGAAGAACACCGGUGGCGAAGGCGGCUCACUGGCCCGAUACUGACGCUGAGGCACGAAAGCGUGGGGAGCAAACAGG
rnacentral:rRNA from 1 species